AGAGCUUGUGAACUGGGGGCAUCUCCUUACCAUUCGUGUGACAUCGCAAGUUACCAGAAACAUUGCUAAUGAAAUUACAAUUAUGUCUUACCUCUUUCGUUUACUUUAAAGGGAUUUGACUCAAUUCAAAUCAGUUUAUGGAGAUUUGAAUAGUAAAGGUGCGGUUCCGCAGAGCAUCUUGAGCGUCCUCAAUCCCGCAAUAAAAAAGGAAGCCCAACUCGAACGUGAAUCACAAGUGUCGUCCAAGUUGAAACAACACCACCUCUGCAAAAAUCAAGGACAAGGAUGGACGAUCAAAAGGGUUUUUCCAUGGUCUUCUUAUUUGCGGUCGUAUCUCUGUUGAGCUGCUGCCAGGCCUCUAAUUUCAUCCUUCCGCUUGUCUCCCGUACUGACGAUGCCAUCAUCAUCGAUCUUGAUGGCUCGGGAUAUGAUGUCCCAUUUCAAAGAAAAAACUGGCACGGCCAAAUUGCCAAUCCUGGAUUCAUUCCGGUGCCAUCGUUCAAUCCUUACCCAAUGAUGUUUCACCAGCAGCAACUGCCUAGUGGAUGGCCGUAUCCGUUCGCCUAUCCUAGUUCCCUUAAUCCUGCAGGUGUCCCAUCCAAUAAGCAGUUUGAUGGCGAAUAUGGAGAAGAAGAGGCGAUCGACGUGAAACAAAAACACAGCGACUUGCGGCACCGCACCGACUGUCAUGCCCACCGCAAGGGGAUUGAUAAGCGAAAGGCUCGUUGGCGCAGCCAAUGCCAAAAAGAGUGGUUGGUCUUUCAUGGUAGCCCUGAAAAGCUGAUGGUUACAUAUUUGGCAGCUUUUAUUGAUUAGUGACACUAAAGUCCUUAUAGCGGCCCACUGUGGAAAAGAUGUCUUUGAUCGAGAUCAGUGGUGUGACCACAUUGAUUGGAAUGUAUUUAACGGGCCAGUCAGACGUCCAGAUAUCAAGGAGGAUUAGCAAAGUUGUCCUUCAUGAGAAAUACAACGCCUUCAACUCCGCCAAUGAUAUCGCCAUCCUCACACCUACAUAUCCCGUAAUUCUUUAUAAAACUGUCUUCCCCGUUUUUUUGCCGCUGCUCAAUAAUGACCCCGACCAAUACGUCGACACGACUGCCGUGAUUUUGGGAUGGGGAGCAGCUCCAGGCGCAACCGCACCCGCUAAACUGUAACAAGCCCUUGUUGGGUUAAAAUUCGGUUUAGCUGACUGAUAUUAAAUAAUACAAGCCAUGCUAUUUAAUGUAUGAGUGCAUGCACAUUAAAAAGUUCUGAAUAAACAUUAACCCAAGCAAGUAAAA
rnacentral:lncRNA from 1 species